AGUGAACGCUGGCGGUAGGCCUAACACAUGCCAGUCGAACGGCAGCACAGUAAGAGCUUGCUCUUACGGGUGGCGAGUGGCGGACGGGUGAGGAAUACAUCGGAAUCUACUUUUUCGUGGGGGAUAACGUAGGGAAACUUACGCUAAUACCGCAUACGACCUACGGGUGAAAGCAGGGGAUCUUCGGACCUUGCGCGAUUGAAUGAGCCGAUGUCGGAUUAGCUAGUUGGCGGGGUAAAGGCCCACCAAGGCGACGAUCCGUAGCUGGUCUGAGAGGAUGAUCAGCCACACUGGAACUGAGACACGGUCCAGACUCCUACGGGAGGCAGCAGUGGGGAAUAUUGGACAAUGGGCGCAAGCCUGAUCCAGCCAUACCGCGUGGGUGAAGAAGGCCUUCGGGUUGUAAAGCCCUUUGUUGGGAAAGAAAAGCAGCAGGUUAAUACCCCGCUGUUCUGACGGUACCCAAAGAAUAAGCACCGGCUAACUUCGUG
rnacentral:rRNA from 1 species